AGUCCAUUUCGGUGAAUAUUCACUUACUAAUAAAAAGUGAAAAGUAUAAAACGACAGAGAAUAAUACCAGGAUGUCCUCAAAAAACCAGAAGAUAUUUUCCUGUUCAAAGAAAAUUCUGAAAACAAAAUUGAUAGCAUCCGCGCUUUUGAAUUCGUUUAUUUUACGUUGAAACUUCAAGGAAUGGUCAUAAUGGAGGAGUAUCCUCUACGACAAAAAGUACACGUUGUCACCAAUUAUAUCCUCGUCAAUAUUUGUUACUACUCCACGUUCAUCAUUCAACUAUUUUACGUGAAUAAUCUGAAGCAGUUAUUGGAAAACAUCCCUAUGAACCUCUGUGUGACAGCUUGCGCCAUCAAAUUCUCCGUAAUUCUGAAACUAAGACGCAGCUUCAUCGAGGUCAACAGGAAGCUGGAGCACCUCGACAGUCGACCUAUGACGGAAACACAAAAGGAUGAACUGAAUAAAGAAAUCAACUUUUGCAGGUUUACUUCAAAGAUCCUUAUCGUGCUAUAUUUGGUGGUGAAUUUAAUGUAUGCCCUCACGGGAGCCCUUUCUCAUGGUACAAGACUUGGCUUCGAAACUUGGUUCCCCUAUGAUUGGAGGAAGUCAGCUUUGCGAUUUUGGAUUUCGUUGUCCAUACAGUCCUCGUUUCAGAUACUAUUGUCCAUGCAAAAUGUAGCAAAUGAUUUCCUUGUGCCCUGGUAUCUGAGUGUGGUGAGCGCGCAUCUGCAGAUUGUUAUGGACCGGUUCGCUAUAAUUCAUCAUGAUCCAGAGAAGACGGAGGAAGAAAGUUUCCAAGACUUUAUACAGUGUCUGGCGGAUCACCGGAGCAUAAUGGACAUCUUCGAAAUAAUUCAAAAUAGUCUCUCCUUCACAAUAUUCUUUCAAUUCAUCACAUCAGUUCUGGUAUUCUCAACCUCGGGUGUGAUAUAUUUUAGGUUCUCGCCUUCGUUGGCUGAAACUGUGGCAGUGUUUAUACUUAUGUUAACGGUUAUAAUAGAAAUUUUACCAUCUUGUUACUAUUCAGAUAAAUUUAUGGAAAAAACAGAUAAGAUGGUCUUUAUGAUCUACUCGUGAAACUGGAUGGACUUAUCACCAAAAUUCCGGAAACAUCUUAUAAUAUUUAUGCAGAUGACGCAGAAAAAAAAAGUUAUAUUGGCUGGAAAACAGAUACCAAUAACUCUGGCAACUUUCAUGUCCGUAAUGAAGGCCAUGUACACAAUGCUAAUGAUCUUGAAUCCAACCGAUUAGUGAGGACUAAGGAAAGGUUUCACAUACACCAACGCCAGUGAAGUUGGAAUAAUUUAAUAUAAAAU
rnacentral:misc_RNA from 1 species